UACAGAGGUCUCAAGCGUUGUUCGGAUUCAUUGGGCGUAAAGGGUGCGUAGGCGGCGCGGUAAGUCGGGUGUGAAAUCUCGGAGCUUAACUCCGAAACUGCAUUCGAUACUGCCGUGCUUGAGGACUGGAGAGGAGACUGGAAUUUACGGUGUAGCGGUGAAAUGCGUAGAUAUCAGGAGGAACACCCGUAGCGAAGGCGGCACUCUGGGCCGGAACUGACGCUGAGGAGCGAAAGCGUGGGGAGCGAACAGG
rnacentral:rRNA from 1 species